UUUCAGGCGAUGAAGAAGAAGAGUAACCUGUGUGGAUUCCGAAGAGAGCCGGUGGGUGGUGCGAACCGGUGAUGACGUGCAGGCGAAUGGGCUUCCGAGCUUCCAAACCGAAACGAUUCCGGAGUAGGCUUUGGCGAAUGCCUUAUCGUUACAAAAGGCAGGUAUUACGGUUUUUCCCUGAUACCGUCAAAGCCGGGCUGAUUAAGCCAAUAAAGGUGGCACCGCGGGUUCCCCGUCCUUUAC
rnacentral:ncRNA from 1 species